UCAGCCAUCAACAUCCAUGGACAACAAUCGCCAGAUCUGUCACUGGAAGAAGGGAAGAACGACAAACUAUAACUGAAAAAAAGAAGACCGAAACAGAUCUGAAGGAAAGAAAGAAAUAAAAUCAACUGCCUUUUGUGCGUUUUUCUCCUCUUUGCAGGUGGCGGCGAUUCUCACCGCUGGAAGGGAAUGGAGGAAGAGAAGAAGCCGAGACAGACCCACAUGGUUUCUGGUAUUUUUUCGGCGGCGCGUGAACCCACGCGCCGCCAGUGGCGCGUGGGGAGACGCGCCGCCACUGUCCAGCUGCCCAGAAGAUGCUCCCAGCACUGUUCCAGCGGGUUGCAGGAGUCCUUCCCUGCAAUUUCUAGAAUUUUAGGGACAUGUUUUUGUAAAUUUUAAAUUAUGUAAUGUAAUUUUUAUUUAUUUAUUUUGAAUUU
rnacentral:lncRNA from 1 species